AAACGGACACACAAACUAGGGUUUCUCUCAUCAAUCAUUUUGUCUGCCGCUCAUCCUCUGCUCUCUCUCUCUCUAUGGCGAUUGCAAUAUGGCGACGCCUCUCUCUCGGAUCUUGCCAGAUCUCUCACCAGAUGUGUGAGGAUUUCACUAGAUCCAUGAAGGGUUUGCCAUUUCAUCCAUCUCCCUGCUUCUCUCUCAAAGAAGAUCUAGGGUUUCUCUAGGCGGAGCCGAGCCACUGGCUCACUGCGACCUCGCUGGCAGUUUGAUACUUCCAUGGAACCAAAUAGUCCGAGCCGUGUUGGCUUGGCUGGUAUUGUGUUCUUACCCUUUUCUCUCUUUUCAUUUUUUGUUGAACUGAUUCGUUUUUGUACAGCUCAUAUCACCAAAUCCGGUUUCAGUGACACUCUUUUCGUUUUUGGGAGUGAAGAACAAGCAGAUCCGGUAUCCUGUAUGUUCGUAGACCUCAUAUCACCCCUGUAUGUAUUUGGUACUUUUGUAGAUCUAGGGUUUUUUUGUAUUUUUCAGAUCCGUAAAAUGAUGAUUUGGGAAUUACAAAUCAAUGCAGAACUUGAUUUCGUUUUCCUCAGGUUAACUUUUUCUCUGUCUGCAUGUUCACCGAGUUUUGUGUCUGUAAUGUUACGAUUUUGUUUAAUAAUGUGUGAUAGUGAAUGUACAGGUGCAGAUCUGGAGUUUUGAUUCUUUAGUAGAUUUUGAGAUUAAAACGAAAUUAGUGGUUGAAUUGGUUCAAUGUCCUGUUAAACAAUUUUUAAAAAGAGGAUUGAGUGAAUUUAUUGAGAAGUUUGAAUUGGUUAGUAUGAAAUACUUGCUGCUUAAAAAUAGAAAUUAAAAAUCAAGAUCCUCUUUUUAAACAUUGUUCAACAGGACAUUGAACACUUUGGCAAAUAAAAACCAUUGUCUUGUCAACAAAGUGAUGGCAGAAUCAGCAGCAGCCAAAGUGAAAUCAAUCUUCUUAUAUCCAAUAAAAUCCUGCAGGGGCAUCUCGGGCUCAGAAGCAUCUCUGUCAAUUUUCAUCUUUUUGUCAGAGUUAGCUCAAUAGGCGAAGCUUACCGAAGCCCAACUCAGUAUUAAGAGCACCGGGGAUGGAUGAGCUGAAGGUUUCAUUGUGUAGACCAUCUCAAAUAUGUGAGGGUGUCUCAAUUUGGGAAUGGUCAAUAUCGGCUUUGGAUGAGGGAGAUGAAGCAUCUAAAUGGUUCACUAAUUAUGUUGGCAAGCCAAGUCGGUUAGUGUGUUUUAAUGAAGAGUCAGAGACUAGACAUGUGGACCCCAAUUAUGCAUCUGGAUUCAGAGUUAUGUUUUCUGAUGGAUAUCCGUUCCUUGUAGUGUCCCAGGAGUCUCUAGAUUCAUUGAAUGAACGUCUUCAGGAACCUAUACCAAUAAACUGGUUCAGACCAAAGUAUGUAUCUGUAUCUACAACCUUAGUACAUUUAAGGCUUGGAAACAAAUACAAGUGGCGGUUCUUUGAGUUACAUUUAACUAAUUAAGGGUGUAAACAAGCCGAGCCCGAGCUCUAGCCGAAUCAUAAUGUCAGUUCAGUCACGUUCAUAUACUGUCUGGUGCGAGAUCCUUUUGUUUGGUUUAAAAAUUGUAGACCAUUCUUUGUCGGAGCUUUAGAAUUUAUAUCCGGUGCCGACAUAGAAACCGGCAUCGAUGUCGCAGGGAGCCGGUGGAAUUUUUAUCAGGAGAAAUUUGGUAUGAAAUCGAUGAGAGACGAAGAAUUUGAGCUUAUAUCAGCUCUUCACCUCCAAGUCAGCAUCAUUAGUCAGGCACUCAUUUUCGUUACAAGAUCACGAAGCUGGUUGUUUGUUGAACGCCCCGGUCUUUUACUCCUCACCGCCUUUUUUAUAGCUCAGCUGGAAUAUGAUUAUGUUUCAAGAGUCUAAAAGCAAAGAUCAAAGCCACAUUUCCUGAUGCAUUCCCAGACGAUUCAACGUUAGAAGCACUCGAUGCAUGACCAGAUCUAGAAGUACCUCGCAGAAUAUGACAGAUGGUGACCAUGAAAGAAAUAAAGCCACCUACACUAGAGAAGAAAGAAAGCAACUCUUGUAGCUCUGCAAAGUGCAAGGGGAUCUUUAGGCUUACGAACGGUGGGUUGUUCAUGACAGGAAGAUAUUUAAGGAGUUCCUGCUAAGCCAGUAAAUCAUGAAAAUAUAACCCCAUCAAUGAUUGGGGACUAAACAUGUUACUUUUUAAGUUCUGGAUGUGACAUCAGCUCAGCUUCUUGUGACUGAUAGUGACCUCGGGAGUCCAGAAUUUAGGAACAACUUACUGAUGAUACUGAGCUUUAACACAAAACAGUGACACAUUGAUUAGCGGACAAAAUAGAAACACAUAUUGAUACCCGAUACAACAGAUCCGCUUGGUCAUUGGCACUGAUGCCAGCUCAGUUUCACAACAGAUUGAAGUACUCCAAGUUUAUGCAGGCUUUGCCACCAAAUUAGGUGGUGGAUUUGGUCAGAAGGUCAUUACCCCUUGCUCAUCAUCAGAUGAUGACCCAAAUUAGGUGGUGGAUUUGGUCAGAAGGGCAUUACCACUUGCUCACCAGAUGAUGACCCAAAGAGGGAGGACAUUACCACUUGCUCAGAUUCUGUUGUUAAAAGAACUACUUAAGAAAAUUGACUUUUCGGUUGAUAUAUUUUGGGGUUACUUAUAGUAUGCAAUAAGUAAAUUGGGUUAUAAAAUGUCAAUUUUUAUGUUUACACAGUGUAUUUAGAGCUUACUUAAACAAAUUUUGUAACUUAAACAUAUUUUGUAACUUUUUGUACUUUUAGACAUCGCCUAGGUCUUGAGUUGAAAGGGACACCACUUGCUUAUAUGUA